GUCAACUACCCAUGACUAAAGUCGUAAGUUUGUAUUCCUACAAACUUAGUUGAAUAGCCCAAGUCUUAAUUGACUACGUUAUAUUAGAAUAUAUAGGUACUUCAAGAUAUUUCUCUAGUCUUGAACACUACG
rnacentral:sRNA from 18 species